CUUCUCUCGCCCAUCUGCUUGAGCCCAUGUUCCUCAGUUUUUCACUGCUGCCUUUGGCAUUACUAAUACUGCUUCCUCCUGAUCGCUUGCCCCCGACCCUGAUUGCUCAUCCAGCCCCAGCCCCAGGACCCAGAGUGCUAGUAGCUGACUCUGUGUCUUUGAAACUCACAAACUUGGAGUUGCUCUCCAGGGCAAUGGUAAAAACUGGGGUGUGUUUUCCUUAGGCAAUGAUUAGACUCCUAACUCCCUCUCUAUGUGGCUGGGGAAACAAACUGUUCCCUAGCAUUUUACCUCAGGGGAGAAGGGGAAGGGAAGAAGGAAGUUACUCUUCCAAACAGAAAGUUAAUUACAAGCAUGGCAUACUCUAUAAAAGAGCAGUACCUUGCUUAUUUCAAAUAGAUUCUACCGACUUCUGGGUAAACAUGGCUGCAAUCUAGAUGUGACUCGCUACCCCUCCCUGGCACCGAACGAAAUAGACUACCUCAAAAGAGCAUAAAAAUUACCUUUGGAAGAACAGAGGGACUCCCCAGUAACCCACAGAAAUGAAGGAUCUGUGUUGGGGUAUGCCUGCGCUCAAGCCUUGCCCUGCUGCCUUCCACUGCCUGCUGUUUCUCCUGUCCAUCUGCUUGGCCAGCAUUCCUCGAUGCUCUCCACCCAGGUGUGAGCCUCCUCUUGCUGAGACCAGACCUGCCACAAGAGCCUGCCAAUCCCAGCCAUUAUUUUUCCACAGAGGCCUGUUACAUGGGAAGCAGAGAUAUUUCAAAGUGAGGAUGAUUGAAACAGAGUUUAGAGUUACUUGUCAGAGAUCAGAAGAAUACAUGCAAGAGGCUGGAGAUCCACAGUACAGAGAUGAUCCUCAAACACUGUGUCAAGGCAAGCCUGCGUUCCGAGAGGAUCUAUCAAACUUCAGGACUUAUUUCCAUGGCUCAUGGCUCACCUCAGAGAAAGGCACGAAAAUGGGAAGCCAAGUGUGGAGAGAGAGUGAAAGGGAUUCCCUAAGAACUGGAAUAUUCAGUGGGAAGUAUUGAGUGAAUGGUAGGUACUUUGCCUAGGAGAUAGACAGGCUAUGUACAGAAAGAGUCACUUUAGUUCAGAAAGGACUGAAAAAUGAAGACUCAGUGUGAUCCUUUCUGUUUCGUAAGUUGGUUUGAAUAGUUUAGAGGCAUUCCAGACCCAAACUUAUGAAAGAGCUAGAGAAUAUCAAGAAGUCCUGAGGCAGGUUGUUCCUAGAUAUUUCAUUUUUAAGGAGCUGGGAUGUUAGUGGCCCUUUCCUCUCCAUCUAGAUACCUGGGAGCUUGCACUUUCUCCUGGGAGAAGGAAUAAGUGAUGAAGGGCAGAAAUGGGGAGGAGGAGAUUAAAUAGUGGAAAAGGAGAGGAGAAGGAAAAGCCCGUGACACCUUAUAUGGGGGGAGGAAGGGCACGAUAGCAGCAGCAGCAAUAGCAAACUUGAAUUUGUAAGAACAAUGGCAUCAUCAGUCCAGUUUUUCAUCUCCUCCUCAGCCCCAAAGUCCCUGCCUUUUUUUUUUUUAAACUCAAUGUAUUUGUCUCUACUUUGAUCCCCAGAUUCAGGCAGGACUUCCAUGUUUCAUUUCUCUGGUGAAAAUCUCAAAAGACAAAGCUACAGCUUAAAGUGUAUAAAUUUCUCCAGAAUCUUUUGAUUCAUACUACACCCCCCUCCUCGUUAUUUAUAGUGCAAGCUGAUUAACGGGGGACAGCGAGGAGGAACUAGUCUAGAUAGAUAUGGGAAGCAAUGUGUUCUUAACUGGCACUGAAAAGGGGGAAUCCAGGGGCUAGUUUUGAAUAAGUAUGUUUGAAGUGCAUGGAAGUGAAGAGCAAAAGUGAAACAUUGUUCCCCAGACUGUUGAGGUGGGGAAGGAGCACCACAAGAAGACGCUGAGAUUUGAAGUUCUAGGAAAGCAG
ensembl:lncRNA